rnacentral:rRNA from 1 species
UGAGGGUUGAUAGGUUAAGAGCUAGGGUAUUGGACGUUACCCACAGAAGAAGCACCGGCUAACUCCGUGCCAGCAGCCGCGGUAAUACGGAGGGUGCGAGCGUUAAUCGGAAUUACUGGGCGUAAAGGGUGCGUAGGUGGUUGUAUAAGUUAGCUGUGAAAGACCUGAGCUUAACUUGGGAUGGUCAGCUAAGACUGUAUGACUAGAGUAGGGGAGAGGGUAGUGAAUUUCUGGUGUAGCGGUGAAAUGCGUAGAGAUCAGAAGAACACCGGUGGCGAAGGCGGCUACCUGGCCUGCUACUGACACUGAGGCACGAAAGCGCGGGGAGCAAACAGGAUUAGAUACCCUGGUAGUCCACGCUGUAAACGAUGUCAACUAGCUGUUGGUCAUGUAAAGAUGAUAAGUAGCGCAGCAAACGCGAUAAGUUGAC